GAACGCUGGCGGCAGGCCUAACACAUGCAAGUCGAGCGGAUGAGUGGAGCUUGCUCCAUGAUUCAGCGGCGGACGGGUGAGUAAUGCCUAGGAAUCUGCCUGGUAGUGGGGGACAACGUUUCGAAAGGAACGCUAAUACCGCAUACGUCCUACGGGAGAAAGCAGAGGACCUUCGGGCCUUGCGCUAUCAGAUGAGCCUAGGUCGGAUUAGCUAGUAGGUGAGGUAAAGGCUCACCAAGCCGACGAUCUGUAGCUGGUCUGAGAGGACGACCAGCCACACUGGAACUGAGACACGGUCCAGACUCCUACGGGAGGCAGCAGUGGGGAAUUUUGGACAAUGGACGCAAGUCUGAUCCAGCCAUUCCGCGUGCAGGAUGAAGGCCCUCGGGUUGUAAACUGCUUUUGUACGGAACGAAAAGGUUUCUAUUAAUACUAGGAGCUCAUGACGGUACCGUAAGAAUAAGCACCGGCUAACUACGUG
rnacentral:rRNA from 1 species